rnacentral:rRNA from 1 species
CCUACGGGGUGCAGCAGUGAGGAAUAUUGGUCAAUGGACGAGAGUCUGAACCAGCCAAGUAGCGUGAAGGAUGACUGCCCUAUGGGUUGUAAACUUCUUUUAUAUGGGAAUAAACUGUUCCACGUGUGGGAUUUUGUAUGUACCAUAUGAAUAAGGAUCGGCUAACUCCGUGCCAGCAGCCGCGGUAAUACGGAGGAUCCGAGCGUUAUCCGGAUUUAUUGGGUUUAAAGGGAGCGUAGGUGGAUUGUUAAGUCAGUUGUGAAAGUUUGCGGCUCAACCGUAAAAUUGCAGUUGAAACUGGCAGUCUGGAGUACAGUAGAGGUGGGCGGAAUUCGAGGUGUAGCGGUGAAAUGCUUAGAUAUCACGAAGAACUCCGAUUGCGAAGGCAGCUCACUGGACUGCAACUGACACUGAGGCUCGAAAGUGUGGGUAUCAAACAGGAUUAGAUACCCGUGUAGUC